rnacentral:lncRNA from 1 species
AGGGUUUAAUAAUUAGUGGUUAGGAUUUAGUUUAUUGAAGACUGGGGUUGACAUUGGAUUAGAGUUUAUAUUUCUGUGUAGGGUUUAGUGAAUAGUUGAUAGGGUUUGGUUUAUGUACUAUUGGGGUUGACGUUGGGGCAAACAUUACCACUUUCCAUGAAGGCAUAGCCAUAUUAACAUUUGAAAAAUAUGUUAAGAUGAUCUUCAAAUUGCAACUACAUUUUCAUAUUUUCUAUUCUAUAUGCCUCCUGUAGAAUGGUAAUGCAUUUUACUGGCAUUUUGAAAUUUGGGUUUAUUAUAUGGAAAAUUAGGGUUGACUAUUGGAUUUGAGUUUAUAUUUCUGUGUAGAGUUAAUGGUUAGUUGAUAGGGUUUAUAUUAUUUUACAAUGAAUAAGCAUGAUGUAUGUUUUGUUGUUGGGUUUAGUAUUUAGUGGUUGUGAGUGGGAUUAGAAUCAUAUACUAUUUCGGUGAUAUAGAAUACAUUUUUUUUUAAUUAAAAAACUUUAGUAUUUAUGGUUGGGGUUGAAGUUUAUAUUUCUGUUUAAGGUUUAUAUUUUCUUUUAGGGUUAGUGUUUAAUAUUUAUGGAUUGGAGGUGGAUUGGGAUACAAUUUAUUAUUUAGAGUUGUGAUGAAGUUGGUGUUCUAUCUAUUUUGGUAAAAUAGAAUAGAGUAACUGAGGUUGGUAAAUGGAAUACAAAAUAUAUUGGAAUGAGUUCUAUUUUAGUCCAUACAUUUACUGUGAACAAUAAUUCUGGAUGCGGUAAAUAUUUAAGUGACGUGAUUUUUCUCUCUUUCAAGUCACCUCUAUAAUAUCAUGAGC